rnacentral:rRNA from 1 species
CCUACGGGGCGCUGCAGUGGGGAAUAUUGGACAAUGGGCGAAAGCCUGAUCCAGCCAUGCCGCGUGUGUGAAGAAGGCCUUCGGGUUGUAAAGCACUUUCAGUGGGGAAGAAAGCCUUGGGGCUAAUACCCUCGAGGAAGGACAUCACCCACAGAAGAAGCACCGGCUAACUCCGUGCCAGCAGCCGCGGUAAUACGGAGGGUGCGAGCGUUAAUCGGAAUUACUGGGCGUAAAGCGCGCGUAGGCGGUCUGAUAAGCCGGUUGUGAAAGCCCCGGGCUCAACCUGGGAACGGCAUCCGGAACUGUCAGGCUAGAGUGCAGGAGAGGAAGGUAGAAGUCCCGGUGUAGCGGUGAAAUGCGUAGAGAUCGGGAGGAAUACCAGUGGCGAAGGCGGCCUUCUGGACUGACACUGACGCUGAGGUGCGAAAGCGUGGGUAGCAAACAGGAUUAGAUACCCCAGUAGUC